UGUACAAUUAAAAAAUCACACUACAGCCUCUUUAAAAUACCUGCCUUAUUAUAACAGGAUAAUUAUGCUGGUUUUAAUGGAGCUAGGUGCUUAGGGUAAGGCAACUUUAUGUACCAAAAGUACAUUACUUUCACUGAUAUUUGCAGCGAGAGUGUUUAUGAGGACUUCGUAAAAGAUGUAGUGUAGUCUGUAUAAGUUUUAAAAUACUUUGUGCGUUUAAAAUAACAGUGUCCUCCCACACACCAAAUAGGGAGUUCUCCUGGUCCCUGUUACAGUCCCAAAGCUCACCACAUUUGUGUCUUCACUCCAGUUCCCAUCCCUGCUAUGGUUCUCAUGUUACAGGGAUUGUCUUGCCCUUCCAGCAGAGGAUAGCUGGAUGCAAGUACUCCCCAUAUUAGUAUAGAGAUUGCUAGAGAAUGACGCAGAGGCUCUCUCUGCCUCCCAGUGGCUAAGCAUACGGCUUCUGCUACAUUCUCAGCCCCAGAGUGAAGAGCUGAUUUGGAGUUUGAAACAUGGUAGAGCAAUGCACUACUCUGAUGCUGCUGGAUGGGCUUGUAGGGUUGUCGUAACAGCACUUCAGUUCCUUCACCUGAUGGGCUCUGGGAUGCGUACUUCUGACAUAGUUAGUUCAGGGGACAAUUGCUCUUCUCUCUGUUGUGCAUAGACGCUUGAGAUCCAUUUGGAUACAGGUACACACAAACAUGUUUACAGAAUCACCCUACUCAGGCAAACUUCUGUCCUAAGAAACCACCCCCAAAUAUUCCCCAAAUGUUCUGGCUACAGUGCUCCACCUGUAUUAGGAGACCACCACUGUUAACCAACCAAUUUUUGUCAUUCCCUUCAGUGUCACUUAGGACAUGUUUCAUAUUAUAAGGACAACAAGAGGAUUAGCUGGCCCAUAUCUGCUGGUGUUAUUUAUGGGAAUGAAAAUGCCAUUUGUAGUUGUGGUGUUGAGUCAGAGAACAAUGAGAGUGUAAGAAAACUCAUUUCUGGUUUGUUGAAAGGCUUUUGUAAUUUCCUGUUUUUUCAUGACAAUGGGGAUAUAAGUAGGGGAACAAGUUGGGGAAUUUAAGGGAAGAUAUAACUGAAGAAGAGUGUGCAAAUUAUCUGAACCCAAGACCAUAUACUAAUUCAUCUGAACCCUAGCUGUUCAGACCGGCAGCAAUGUGAAGUAUGUUGUACAGGAUAAUGCAAGUCAUUCCCCUAUGAUAUGUCAUGAUCAAUGACAAUCUAAUGAAUUCAUCUUAAAACAAAGUCAGAACAGGAAAAACAAUAGCUAUUUGAAAGACUCCUUUCCUCAAAUAAAUGGAGUCAAUAAAUAUGCUCUUUGUCA
rnacentral:lncRNA from 1 species